rnacentral:rRNA from 1 species
GUUUGAUCCUGGCUCAGGAUGAACGCCCUUGGUGUGCCUAAUACAUGCAAGUCGUACGCACUGGCCCAACUGAUUGAUGGUGCUUGCACCUGAUUGACGAUGGAUCACCAGUGAGUGGCGGACGGGUGAGUAACACGUAGGUAACCUGCCUCGGAGCGGGGGAUAACAUUUGGAAACAGAUGCUAAUACCGCAUAACAACAAAAGCCACAUGGCUUUUGUUUGAAAGAUGGCUUUGGCUAUCACUCUGGGAUGGACCUGCGGUGCAUUAGCUAGUUGGUAAGGUAACGGCUUACCAAGGCAAUGAUGCAUAGCCGAGUUGAGAGACUGAUCGGCCACAAUGGAACUGAGACACGGUCCAUACUCCUACGGGAGGCAGCAGUAGGGAAUCUUCCACAAUGGGCGCAAGCCUGAUGGAGCAACACCGCGUGAGUGAAGAAGGGUUUCGGCUCGUAAAGCUCUGUUGUUGGAGAAGAACGUGCGUGAGAGUAACUGUUCACGCAGUGACGGUAUCCAACCAGAAAGUCACGGCUAACUACGUGCCAGCAGCCGCGGUAAUACGUAGGUGGCAAGCGUUAUCCGGAUUUAUUGGGCGUAAAGCGAGCGCAGGCGGUUGCUUAGGUCUGAUGUGAAAGCCUUCGGCUUAACUGAAGAAGUGCAUCGGAAACCGGGCGACUUGAGUGCAGAAGAGGACAGUGGAACUCCAUGUGUAGCGGUGGAAUGCGUAGAUAUAUGGAAGAACACCAGUGGCGAAGGCGGCUGUCUGGUCUGCAACUGACGCUGAGGCUCGAAAGCAUGGGUAGCGAACAGGAUUAGAUACCCUGGUAGUCCAUGCCGUAAACGAUGAGUGCUAGGUGUUGGAGGGUUUCCGCCCUUCAGUGCCGGAGCUAACGCAUUAAGCACUCCGCCUGGGGAGUACGACCGCAAGGUUGAAACUCAAAGGAAUUGACGGGGGCCCGCACAAGCGGUGGAGCAUGUGGUUUAAUUCGAAGCUACGCGAAGAACCUUACCAGGUCUUGACAUCUUGCGCUAACCUUAGAGAUAAGGCGUUCCCUUCGGGGACGCAAUGACAGGUGGUGCAUGGUCGUUGUCAGCUCGUGUCGUGAGAUGUUGGGUUAAGUCCCGCAACGAGCGCAACCCUUGUUACUAGUUGCCAGCAUUAAGUUGGGCACUCUAGUGAGACUGCCGGUGACAAACCGGAGGAAGGUGGGGACGACGUCAGAUCAUCAUGCCCCUUAUGACCUGGGCUACACACGUGCUACAAUGGACGGUACAACGAGUCGCAAGCUCGCGAGAGUAAGCUAAUCUCUUAAAGCCGUUCUCAGUUCGGACUGUAGGCUGCAACUCGCCUACACGAAGUCGGAAUCGCUAGUAAUCGCGGAUCAGCAUGCCGCGGUGAAUACGUUCCCGGGCCUUGCACACACCGCCCGUCA